AGCUUUGCGCAGUGGCAAAGUAUAGUAGCCCAUGAGGUUUAUCUGAGGCGCAAUAAUUGCUAAUUGAAAACUUUUCCCAAUACUCUGCCAUGACUACUUGAAAUAUAUUUGGCAUUGGCAAUUUUUGACAGUCUCUAUGGAGA
ensembl:snRNA U4 U4 spliceosomal RNA